rnacentral:rRNA from 1 species
AGAGUUUGAUCCUGGCUCAGGACGAACGCUGGCGGCGUGCUUAACACAUGCAAGUCGAACGGAAAGGCCCUGCUUGCAGGGUACUCGAGUGGCGAACGGGUGAGUAACACGUGGGUGAUCUGCCCUGCACUUCGGGAUAAGCUUGGGAAACUGGGUCUAAUACCGGAUAGGACCGCACUUUAGUGUGUGUGGUGGAAAGUUUUUUCGGUGUAGGAUGAGCUCGCGGCCUAUCAGCUUGUUGGUGGGGUAAUGGCCUACCAAGGCGGCGACGGGUAGCCGGCCUGAGAGGGUGUACGGCCACAUUGGGACUGAGAUACGGCCCAGACUCCUACGGGAGGCAGCAGUGGGGAAUAUUGCACAAUGGGCGCAAGCCUGAUGCAGCGACGCCGCGUGGGGGAUGAAGGCCUUCGGGUUGUAAACUCCUUUCGCUAGGGACGAAGCUUUUUGUGACGGUACCUAGAUAAGAAGCACCGGCUAACUACGUGCCAGCAGCCGCGGUAAUACGUAGGGUGCGAGCGUUGUCCGGAAUUACUGGGCGUAAAGGGCUCGUAGGUGGUUUGUCGCGUCGUCUGUGAAAUUCUGGGGCUUAACUCCGGGCGUGCAGGCGAUACGGGCAUAACUUGAGUGCUGUAGGGGUAACUGGAAUUCCUGGUGUAGCGGUGAAAUGCGCAGAUAUCAGGAGGAACACCGAUGGCGAAGGCAGGUUACUGGGCAGUUACUGACGCUGAGGAGCGAAAGCAUGGGUAGCGAACAGGAUUAGAUACCCUGGUAGUCCAUGCCGUAAACGGUGGGCGCUAGGUGUGAGGGUCUUUCUACGACUUUCGUGCCGUAGCUAACGCAUUAAGCGCCCCGCCUGGGGAGUACGGCCGCAAGGCUAAAACUCAAAGGAAUUGACGGGGGCCCGCACAAGCGGCGGAGCAUGUGGAUUAAUUCGAUGCAACGCGAAGAACCUUACCUGGGCUUGACAUACA